rnacentral:rRNA from 1 species
AGUGAACGCUGGCGGUAGGCCUAACACAUGCAAGUCGAACGGCAGCACAGAGGAGCUUGCUCCUUGGGUGGCGAGUGGCGGACGGGUGAGGAAUACAUCGGAAUCUACUCUGUCGUGGGGGAUAACGUAGGGAAACUUACGCUAAUACCGCAUACGACCUACGGGUGAAAGCAGGGGAUCUUCGGACCUUGCGCGAUUGAAUGAGCCGAUGUCGGAUUAGCUAGUUGGCGGGGGUAAAGGCCCACCAAGGCGACGAUCCGUAGCUGGUCUGGUACGGUGAUCCGCCACACUGGAACUGAGACACGGUCCAGACUCCUACGGGAGGCAGCAGUGGGGAAUAUUGGACAAUGGGCGCAAGCCUGAUCCAGCCAUACCGCGUGGGUGAAGAAGGCAUUCGGGUUGUAAAGCCCUUUUGUUGGGAAAGAAAUCCAUCUGGUUAAUACCCGGGUGGGAUGACGGUACCCAAAGAAUAAGCACCGGCUAACUUCGUGCCAGCCGCCGCGGUAA